rnacentral:rRNA from 1 species
CCUACGGGUGGCAGCAGUGAGGAAUAUUGGUCAAUGGACGAGAGUCUGAACCAGCCAAGUAGCGUGAAGGAUGACUGCCCUAUGGGUUGUAAACUUCUUUUAUAUGGGAAUAAAAUGUUCCACGUGUGGGCUUUUGUAUGUACCAUAUGAAUAAGGAUCGACUAACUCCGUGCCAGCAGCCGCGGUAAUACGGAGGAUCCGAGCGUUUUCCGGAUUUAUUGGGUUUAAAGGGAGCGUAGGUGGAUUUUUAAGUCAGUUGUGAAAGUUUGCGGCUCAACCGUAAAAGUGCAGUUGAAACUGGCAGUCUUGAGUACAGUAGAGGUGGGCGGAAUUCGUGGUGUAGCGGUGAAAUGCUUAGAUAUCACGAAGAACUCCGAUUGCGAAGGCAGCUCACUGGACUGCAACUGACACUGAGGCUCGAAAGUGUGGGUAUCAAACAGGAUUAGAUACCCCUGUAGUC